ACAUCGGUAGCACAGUGGUUAGUGCAGUCUGCCGGUAAUAGAAAGACGCGGGUUCAAUUCCCGUCCGAUGUC
rfam:Nippostrongylus brasiliensis genome assembly, scaffold: NBR_contig0004675